AUACAGAGGUUGCGAGCGUUAAUCGGAAUUACUGGGCGUAAAGCGCGCGUAGGCGGCUUAUUAAGUCAGAUGUGAAAUCCCCGGGCUCAACCUGGGAACUGCAUCUGAUACUGGUAAGCUAGAGUUUUGGAGAGGGAAGUAGAAUUUCAGGUGUAGCGGUGAAAUGCAUAGAGAUCUGAAGGAAUACCAGUGGCGAAGGCGACUUCCUGGCCAAAAACUGACGCUGAGGUGCGAAAGCGUGGGUAGCAAACGGGAUUAGAUACCCUAGUAGUCC
rnacentral:rRNA from 1 species